rnacentral:lncRNA from 1 species
GGCCUUUCUAGGAGCCAGCUUGCUUUCAUCUUACUGUUUUGAUUGUGCCUCACAAGGGACAACACUCCGAUUGUCUAGGAGGAGGAAGGUCAGGGACAGAAAAGUAAAAGCCAGGAGCAGCCUGUCCUGUCUGCCUGGGCUGCUGGGGAAUGAUUGUCAGUGAAUCGAGUUGUCUGUGGAGCCCCUGAGCAAAUUCUCCCAGUGGCAGAUCUCGCAAAAGGGGAGGAAGGCCUUCACCGCUGAACCCGAGCUUUGCCAUUUCGAAGUGCUGAGUCACCUCGUCCUCUCAGGGUCAGACACUUUCACGCAGGAAACGUCCUGCAGAGCACCGCAGCGGGAGCACCGAGCUGAUGUGGAAACUCAGAGAGGAUGCCACUGUUUUGAACUAUUUUGAAGGCACAGCCACCAGAGCUUUAGGGACAGGGUAUUUUAUCACAGCAACAGAAAUGAAACCAAAACAACUCCACAAUAAAAUUCUUGAGUUUCUUGGGGCCAAGAAGAUGACACGAUAAGAUAAAGACACUGGCCAAGCAUGACCUCCAGAGUUUGGCCCUUGCAUAAAGGAGAAAAUUAAUUCCUUCAGUUGUUCUCUGACCUCCACAUGCGUCCUGUAACAUGGGUGUAUGCAUACACAUAAACACACAUCCACACGUUGUUAAAUAAAUAAAAAAAAUAUGUUAACA